UACGUAGGUCCCGAGCGUUGUCCGGAUUUAUUGGGCGUAAAGGGAACGCAGGCGGUCUUUUAAGUCUGAUGUGAAAGCCUUCGGCUUAACCGGAGUAGUGCAUUGGAAACUGGGAGACUUGAGUGCAGAAGAGGAGAGCGGAACCCCAUGUGUAGCGGUGAAAUGCGUAGAUAUAUGGAAGAACACCAGUGGCGAAAGCGGCUCUCUGGUCUGUAACUGACGCUGAGGUUCGAAAGCGUGGGUAGCAAACAGG
rnacentral:rRNA from 1 species